AUUAGAUUGAUGCAAAAGUAAUUGUGGUUUUUGCAAUUUCUUUCAAUGGCAAAAACUGCAGUUACUUUUGCACCAACUUUAAU
rnacentral:miRNA from 10 species